rnacentral:misc_RNA from 1 species
AUUGCAAUGGAUGAUGGUAUUGAUGGUGAAUAUUUGAAUGUUGAUAAUGAUAAGGAAAAGGCAAGAGAUCCAUUACAAGAUGAGUGAUUAAUGGAUUCUGCUUGCCUAUUCCAUAUUUGCUCAAGAAAGGAGUGGUUUGAUGUGAUUGAAAAUAAAAAAUAAGAGAAAGUGAAGCUAACCAAUGGGAACAAGAUGGAAAUUGAAGGUGUUGGAAGAGUAAAGAUCAAACUGCAUGGUGAUCGAGUAAAAGCGUUCCAUAAAGUGAGGUAUGUUCCAAAAUUUGAAAGAAAUUUAAUUUCCUUGGGUAAGUUAGAUUCUUUGGGUUAUGGGUGUUCCAUUCACGAUGGAGUCAUGAGAGUU